rnacentral:rRNA from 1 species
ACGGAGGCGCCCAAAGGUUCCCUCAACCUGGACGGCAAUCAGGUGGCGAGUGUAAAUGCACAAGGGAGCUUGACUGCGAGACUUACAAGUCAAGCAGGGACGAAAGUCGGGAUUAGUGAUCCGGCACCCCCGAGUGGAAGGGGUGUCGCUCAACGGAUAAAAGGUACCCCGGGGAUAACAGGCUGAUCUUCCCCAAGAGUCCAUAUCGACGGGAUGGUUUGGCACCUCGAUGUCGGCUCGUCGCAUCCUGGGGCUGGAGCAGGUCCCAAGGGUUGGGCUGUUCGCCCAUUAAAGCGGCACGCGAGCUGGGUUUAGAACGUCGUGAGACAGUUCGGUCUCUAUCCGCCGCGCGCGUCAGAAACUUGAGGAAACCUGUCCCUAGUACGAGAGGACCGGGACGGACGAACCUCUGGUGCACCAGUUGUCCCGCCAGGGGCACCGCUGGAUAGCCACGUUCGGUCAGGAUAACCGCUGAAAGCAUCUAAGCGGGAAACCUUCUCCAAGAUCAGGUUUCUCACCCACUUGGUGGGAUAAGGCCCCCCGCAGAACACGGGUUCAAUAGGUCAGACCUGGAAGCUCAGUAAUGGGUGUAGGGAACUGGUGCUAACCGGCCGAAAACUUACAACA